rnacentral:rRNA from 1 species
UACGUAGGGUGCAAGCGUUAAUCGGAAUUACUGGGCGUAAAGCGUGCGCAGGCGGUUUUGUAAGUCUGUCGUGAAAGCCCCGGGCUCAACCUGGGAAUUGCGAUGGAGACUGCAAGGCUUGAAUCUGGCAGAGGGGGGGUAGAAUUCCGCGUGUAGCAGUGAAAUGCGUAGAGAUGCGGAGGAACACCGAUGGCGAAGGCAGCCCCCUGGGCUAACACUGACGCUCAGGCACGAAAGCGUGGGGAGCAAACAGG